AGAACGAACGCUGGCGGCAGGCUUAACACAUGCAAGUCGAGCGCCCAGCAAUGGGAGCGGCGGACGGGUGAGUAACACGUGGGAACAUGCCUUUCGGUACGGAACAACUGCGGGAAACUGCAGCUAAUGCCGUAUGCGCCCUUACGGGGAAAGAUUUAUCGCCGAAAGAUUGGCCCGCGUCUGAUUAGCUAGUUGGUGAGGUAACGGCUCACCAAGGCUUCGAUCAGUAGCUGGUUUGAGAGAACGACCAGCCACACUGGGACUGAGACACGGCCCAGACUCCUACGGGAGGCAGCAGUGGGGAAUCUUGGACAAUGGGGGAAACCCUGAUCCAGCCAUGCCGCGUGAGUGAUGAAGGCCUUCGGGUUGUAAAACUCUUUUACCAGGGAAGAUAAUGACUGUACCUGGAGAAUAAGCCCGGCUAACUUCGCGCCAGCAGCCGC
rnacentral:rRNA from 1 species